rnacentral:tRNA from 1 species
GGUGCAGCUCAGUGGCAGAGUGCUCGCCUAACAUGCAUGAGGCCCAGGGUUCAAUCUCCAGCACCA